CCGUCCGAGACGCCCCACCCGGCUCCGACAUUCCUCUCUCUCGUUCUCGUUCCAUUCCAGAGAGUCGCCGCCCCCUCUCUCCCCCACCCCAGCUGCUCCGCCCUCACCGGCGACCUACUCCUCCGCCGCCGGCCACCACCCCCUCCCCCUCCCCUCACCAUCUCUCCCUUCCCUUGGCCCCAGAUCCACCAACCCAUGGUGCUGCCGGCGGAUCCGAGACCAAGACCGCCUCCUCCUUGUGGUUGUUGCUCGAGCUGCUGUUAGACGGAUCCACAACGGCCACGCGGCAGAUCUGCAGCGUCUUCGGCUGAUCCACGCGGAUCCACGGUGCCCUGAGCCCUCCCCAGGUGAUUUUCUGCAUCACCCCUUGGCCUCAGCGGUUCCACCAAUCUCCGGCGCCGUCUGCUCGCCAUCCCCUCGAUCCUGCUCCGAGCUCUGAAACCCCACGCACACAGACCUGAACCCUCCACCCUCCUCGCUCCCACCGUGGUCAAAUGGCCCCCGCGGCCGCCGUCAUGAUGCGGGCCCACUUCGCUAGCUCCUGCUCGUCAGCCAGCCGGCGGCUCCGCGGGAGGGCGUCUCGCGUCUCGCUCGCUCCCCAGGCGGCCUCGCCGCCGCGCGUUCAUGGGGUCGAUGCUAUGGACCCGAGCUUUCCACGCUCUGUAGAUCAGUGGAGUCUCGAGUAGGAUAGUAUUGAGCUCCUCUAUGGUCGCAGAGCAGGGAUCUGGGGCGCCCAUCAGGGGACGAGUCUGGGCGAAGGCCGGUGGUUCGUUCGAGCAAGAUUGCAUUGAGGCGGACGCUUUGAAUCGUUGUAGCUUCACAUCCUCUACUGCUUCCUCGUCUGCACGGCCUUGGUCACCUAUACACGCACGCACCACCGAGCUGCAGGUAAAUGCAAGCAGGUAUCCCCUUGUUGUCUGGUUAAUUAUUUAGAAUUGUUCCUCUGAUUAAUACAUUCAUAUGGGCGCAUGUAGUACUGUUGAUGGUAUGAAUGGCUCGGGUAGCAGUUGCAUCUUGGUGGGUUUCAAUUCAUUUAUAGCUUAGAGGUUUCAUGAUAGUGUAGGCAUGCAUGCCACAUACAUAUUCAUCAGGAUUCAGGACCGAGACAUCUGUGUGUGUUUCAGCAGACAGUCUCUAUGAUUCGAUGUUUCUUCAUGCUAGUAGCAUAGUGCUCCGUAAUUUUUGUUCCUCAUUGUUCCGUGAAAAAUUGUGUUUACCCUCUGUUACUUCUUGUAGGUAGUUGUAGCUUUCAUGUGAUGGGAAUCAACUAGACAAGAUACUUAACAUUUGAUUAAUUAAUGUAGCUUGUGAUCAUUUUAUGGAUGUUUGCUGGUAUGGUGCAUGAAAAAAUGACAUGUACGAAGCCAAUGCUUUGGAUAGAUGCACUUUAGAUGCUCUACUGUUGUUCUUCAUUUUGUUUCAUAAUGGACUUGUUUUUUCUGCCACUGUCCAAGUGCAAGCAGCGACCCACAGAGCAGUACAACGUUCCAAGAACUUCUUGAGAAGCUCACGGAACUGAUAAGCCACAACUUCUGUAGUGUUGAAUGAUUAAAUCGCUACCUUUAACUUGAAAUAAAAAUGCAGUCAUGUACUUCUUUUGACCUUAAUACCCUUUUCUCUUGGUUUUUCCGGAUGAGAUACAACAAGAAAUCUUAGAAGGUUUGGUAGUUGAUGUCGUGGAUGAACAAGAGACAGAUGAAGUUUGUCGACGUAAUUAAAUGUGAUUGCUAGUUGUAUGUGUUGGCUGUCGUGUGGUGUGAGAUAGUACAUUUGCACUUGUGUAUGUUGUAUGAAAAAGGUUGAAACAUGUCGAUGUUACGUAUCUGUUGGAAACAAAUCAUAUAGUGGAUUUUGAAUGUGUGAUGUCUUGUGUUAUGUUUCUUCAUGAAAUGGUGAUCGCAGUAAAUUGAUUAC